AAGGGCUCAGAGGUCAGAGGUCAGAAGAUUAACAUUCAUAUAGGGUUCCAUCAAUAUCUGCCCAAGGGUUUUUUUUUUUUUUUCCUGAUUGCCCAUUUACCAGAGUAAUGCAAGAGUUGAAAAUGAUGUGUCUUAACAGCUAUGAAUUAGGCCGGGGCAGUCAGUGAAUCAGAGAGAGCUUUAUACAGUAGAAAAACAGUUUGGGUUUCAGUGGAAAGCGGUGACUCACCUCUGGUUCAACCUCUUGGGCUACCAGCUUCUAGACUUACUAACGGCCCGCCAGUGCUUCCCAGCACUUUAUAAAGUGCAGGUAACUGGUAGACCUUCCUGUCCCAUCCCCGAUGGUAGUGAGAAUCUACUUUGUUUCCAUCUGGCGGUUCUUCCCAAUGUCCCGUGACUCCAUAUAAACUUGUGCCGAUUGUUCUUCUGAAUGGCCUUUAAAACCUGUGUCUGGUUCUCUUGUUAUAUAAUUCAGAUAAAAUCUUCAACAUAUGUUCACUUUUAAAUUGGUAUGACUUUACCUCUUCCUCAUUCUCACUCAACAUUCUCGUUGAGUACUAAAUUCUUUCGGAGCCUGGCUGCUCAUGGAAGGGCUUGAUAACUCUUUCUGAGAUGUGGGUACAGAGUUCAAUUUUUCUGGAGACUGCUUAUUUAUUUAUUUAUUUAGAGACAAGGUCUCAUAUAGCUGUUUGUUUAUCUAUCUAUCUAUCCAUCCAUCCAUCCAUCCAUCCAUCCAUCCAUCCAUCUAUCUAUCUAUCUAUCUAUCUAUCUAUCUAUCUAUCUAUCUAUCUAUUUAUAGACAGGGUCUCAUAUAGCUCAGACUGGCCACAAAUUUGCUUAUGUAGUUGACCUUCUGAUUUUCCUGCCUGUCUCAUGAGUGUUGGGAUUAGAGGCACAAGUCACAUAAAUGGUCAGUUUCUCUUCUGCAAGAUGUGAGGGAUGCUGACUUUGAAGGCUUUUUUUUUCUCACUCUGAAAUGGUAAAUAGCCACAAUCAAAUGCUAUGGGAAGCACCUCGGCUUGCUUUUGAAUUGUAUGGCUUCAGUUUGGCUGUUUGAAUGGCUAAAAAGGCACUUCUUGGUUCUGUGUGCCUGGGCUCUUCUAUGAGAUUCCCACUCACACUGGACAGACUGUCAGUUUUAGGUCGUUUGGUUUCAUUCCUGCUGGCUCGAACCGUUCUUCAAGGUAUGUUAGAAACUGAUACAUUUUUGGUUAAACAAGAACAUAUUUAAAUCCUAGGCAUUGUGAAGAUUAUUAAAACUUACUUCUUGGGGCUGGAUUGGUGGGUCAGCUGUUAGGAGCACUGAUGCUCUUGCCGAGUACCUAUGUUCAAUCCCCAGCAUCCACAUGGCAGCUCACAACCGUCUGUAACUCCAGUCUCAGGAGAUCCAAAUGCAUGAGGGACACAGACAUCCAUGUUGGCAAACAGACAACACACACACACACACACACACACACACACACACACACACACACACACAAACACACAACAAGACAAAACAUCACACACACACACUCAAAUAAAAAAAAAACACCUAGUUUCUUCUUCAAGUGCUUUUAAAGCCCAUAAAAUAAUUUUGACUAUUAACUAUGGGUCUUUAAAAGUAGCACCAGAAAUUAACAGUACACUCAGUUUCUUAUUGGUUUCAUUCUAAAAUAGGGUUCAAGCAAAAAAUAACAUGAAAUAGGUGGAGAUUUCCCAUCUAUGAAAGAUCUACCUCCCAACCAAUAGAGACCCCGACAGUUAAGAUUUAGCAGUUUGGUGUCUUUGAAUACAAGUUUUUACUUUCAAAGUAUUUUGCAUCUGCUACUCUGUUGUGUUUUAAGAGCCUGGCAGCUGUUUUCACUUUUGGAUGAAGCCCCAAGAGGUUAAGAGGCUUCAAUCAGGGUCCCACACCUGUUAAUGAAAGACUCAAAGCUCGUCUGUGCUCCGACCCCCUAAUCCCCAUCUCCUCAGCCGGCGCCAUCUUCCUUCCAUUAGUGAGGAAUGAAGACCUUCUUUAAUCAGCCUCUGCCUCCUGAAAGAUAUUAAAGUAUACGAUUUCUAAGAAGAAGAAGAAGAAAAAAAAACUAACAGAAAAGGAACAAGAUUGGAAAAUAUUUACACCAGAGAGAAUACAAAAUGGCAAUGUGAAACUCUAGGGCCACGCAGACGUCAAGGACCACACUUGGAGCGAGGGGCUCUCGGCUGCCUCUUCUGCAUCUUCUAGAGUCUAGACUGAGUUGGUGAGACUCCUGCUUGCCUGUGUUGCUGUAGGCAGUGAAUGGUUCCUCUUGGUAUUUCUAGACCUUUCCCAGAUGCCUUUGGUUAGCGUGCUUACUCACCGAUCUCCCCACAUCUCCCUCAAGCAGUGGUUCUCAACCUUCCUUAUGCUGUAACCCUUAAUACCGUUCCUCAUGUUGUGGUGACCGCCCCCACCAUAAAAGUAUUCAUUACUACUUCAUAACUGUAAUUUUGCUACUGUUAUGAAUCCUAAUGUAAAUAUCUGAUAUGCGACCCCUAGUGGGGUCAAGACCCACAGGUUGAGAACUGAGGCUCUCGUGGGUUCAUCUUUGACGUUUGGGACAUUGCUGUGGUUGGAGUCACUGCCCUCCCGUGGGUUUUCUGGGUGGGGUGGGGGUGGGGACUAGGAUCUCUCUCUCUCUCUCUCUCUUUCUUUUUUCUUUUGACAGUGUUGGGGGUUGAACCCAGGGCCUUGAGCAGGGUAAGCAAGCCCUCAACCACUGAGCUACAUACUCAGCCCAAAUAUGGUUAGCUGUUUUUCUUCCUUCUUUUCUUUUAGGGUCCUCUUACUUAAAAAAUGGUGCGCUUAUCUGGGCAGCAUGCCAAGUCACAUUUCAAAGAAGAAGUUAAUUUUCACGGUGAGGUUUUUCCAUUUGGAACAUUCCAGUUGCAGUGAACUUUGAUUCCCGUACUUUGUAAAACUGAGGGCUGGAACAGGGUCUGAUACUGAAGCCCCUGUUCUCUGGGAAGACCUUAGACCCGUGCCACACUUCUAGGGCUGGGGAGAGACCACACAGCCAGCCCUGCUGUGCCACGUUCAGUCGAGUUCUAAGUUGAAGCCCACCCCUGUCAGGUGGAGAGGAGGGAGCAGAGCAUUUCAAACAGCCGAGGUUGUGUAUUAGAUUAGCUGGGGACACAGUGUCCGCUGCAUUGUGACAUGCCGACCCUUAGCCACUAGGGGUCCCUAUGGCCGCUUAACCUGGAAGUUAUUCAACAGAGGAAAGCCAAGAGUUUGUCUCUGACCUGGAGUAUGCAGGCAUUGGCCAAAGGAACCAAAGGAACCACUGAUAACCGGAAAUCAACGUCAGAAAUGGAAAGGGAGACCCAGCAGAGAGCCCGGGGUUUUGAACUAGCACCUGAUAAUGGUGAGUAACGUAACGUGUGGGUGCCCUUGAAAAGGGCCCAGUCCUGGAAGUUGGAAUCUGUCGGCAAAGCGCUUUCCUGUGUCAACACAAAAAAUGAACCAACUUUCAACGUAUCCAAGGGGACUGAAAAUGAAGUUGGGGGCACCAGGAAAAGAGGAAAAAGUCAAAAAGAAGAAUAUGAUAAAACAAUGGUUGAGAUGAUCAGAAUAAAACGAGAGAAAGAAAGACGAGAAUUUAAGGCAUCGGGAAAGGCGAAGAGGGGCUGGCAAGUGGGAAACCGGGAGCUGUGCCCCAGAUUUAAGAUGGGCAUGGAGAGUCCAACAUCCCAACUCACCAAGUCCAUGAUUGUUCACCAUGGAAGUGAAACCCUGGGUCAAAUACUACACCAAGUGCACCAAGUAGGAAAAAGAGCGGUUCAGCGAGGCGGAAGCUGUGUAGCGUCCAGACGCUUCUAUAAGCAGCUGGGAAGAUCAGUCUGGGGCACCGGGUCCUGUGCAGUUCCUCUGGGUACAGAGGGACUGAGGGGGAACAUCACCUUUCUCUUGGUGUUCUUUGCCUGGUGGAAUGGCGUUUUGGCUAACUCACUGAAGUAGGAUGCAAGGCUCCAUGUCUGUCUUAGAAAGCAAGCUCUCAGACACAUGGAAUCGCGAAGUCUUUUCCCAGUGGUAACCAGAGACAUCAAGUGCGACUUCGUGCUUGGUGAAGUCUAGUCUAGUCCUGCAGGCUUGCAGACCCGAGUUGGUGAAGAAAAGCCACGGUGGGAGGCACAAGACUUCUGCCCGAAAGGGCCUCGUUUUUCAAUAUUGUGAGGCAGAGUUUGAGUCCAGGGCCGUGGGAUGCCAACAAAAGCCAUCAGGGCUCUAAGUUAUCAGUCAACAGCUUUCCCAGUAUCGUGCCUGGGCAAGGGGCUCACGUGACCCCUGCUUUACCGCGGUCUGCAUCCAAUCGUAUUCCCAGAAACGUCACUCUGUCCCAUACGGACCAGUAGCAACACCUCUCCUUGCCCCAGAAAGCACAGGUGAAUGUCUCAACAAUUUCACCAAGCCACUUACACAUUUUCUUCACUGUAGAGCGCAUGCGCAGAGCUCUAAGGGUGGUGGGUGCCAGGGACUCUGUGGAAUCCCAGUGGAGACACUGAGAGUUCUUCAUAGGGGACGCGAUGGCCACAGAGCUCGCUUGUUUUAUUUUUGUUCAAGUUAUAAACCAGAGAGUUGGGUUUUUAAGUAAAAGAACCAUUGUUCCCUUGGUCGCUUUAUCAGAGACCUAAUCCCAGAUCUCAGCAGCCUGUGCUCUGAAGGGACACUAGGUGCAUUCCCAGCAAAAGCGAAGGACACAUCUGGAAGCAUUCUGCGAGGCUUUUCCAGCAUGAGGGACAGUUGCCCCUGUUCACAACCCUCCAUCAUGCUUUGGUGGGCAAGCGGGCGGCCAUCAGUGGAGGCCUGAGCCCAGCAGAGAACGGCUUUAAACCUGAAGGCACGGGUGCUUGCGUGGCUCUGAACAGUGAAACUCGCAGGCACAAGGAAAAACAUGAAUGAAACCAGCUGAAAAGUUCCUGAAUAUGACAUCCGGUGUUACUUUUUCAUUUAAGCUCUGCUUGAAGUCGGCCACCCUCCUCUGCGGAGAUAGAGUCACAGACCCGGAGCCUGUUUCCGUGGGAACUAAAUUAAAACCCUACAGGAAAAGUCUAGACUCCGCUUUUAAUCACGAAGCCAAAACAAAGAAAAGGCGGAGCGCCUCUUCACCACCAAUCCAAGGCUUAGAACAGAGACUCAGUGUAAAGCUAGGACCAGCGACCGGUUUUCUCUUUGAUGGGGGAAAGAAUUGCAAUAGAUCUGUCAGAGUCUGUCUAAAGGCAAGGGACCAGGAAAACAGGCAAGGUCAGAUAGCCUUCAGACAUAGCUUCUCCCUCUCCAGGAAACCUUGCAGAGCCAUCGGAGGCAUGGAGGCUGAUCUGCAAGAAGUGUGGUGGUGGUGGUGGAGGGCCUGGGGGAGGGAAUAGAGGCCUGAAGUGAUGGGCCUGGAGGCAGGGGAUAGAUCCAAGUGGUCUGGGGGUGAGACGACAGAAUCGGAAAGUGAAAAAACAAAAUAAAAUGUGCCAAGGAGACGCUAGGAUGAGCCGAGAAACCAGCAGGGGCUACUGGUGGGGAGCAGAGGCGGAGCUAGUGAGUGCGAGGGCGAAGGGACCAUUUGAACUGAGGACCCGGGCGGGCUCCAUCUUCCUUUCCAGGAGGUGUGUGUGUGGGGGGGUGUUGCUGAGUGUUUUGGAAACCAUUUGGCGGAGGUCCAGAACGGAGCAGGAAGGUUCAAGCCCUCCCAGCUCUCUCAUAGUCCAUUCCCUCGAAGCAAGGAGCAAACCACAGAGCUCUGCCUGGACGUCAAACUGUGGAGUCCAGGUCCCCGUCCGCUCAGGAGGGGUCUUGAGUGUGGGCCAGGGAGCGCUUUUGUGGUAAAGCACCAGGGUGUGUAUGCACUUCUGCAGGGGCAGCUGUGAAGGGGGUGUCGUGUUUCACUCCAGGGCACUCAGUACCAAGUGGCCUCAAAGGAGGUUUAGCGGAUGACAGCGGAUUCAGAGGAAGACCGUCCAAAGCACCAGGGAAAAGUGACUUUGCCUGAAUGUCGACACAGAAAUCACAGGAACACAGGAUGCACCACAAACUGGAUUCAAGUGAACGUUUUCUUCUUUUACGCACAAGACCCACUGGCUGAAGUGAAAAGGAAAAUCAAAACCCUAUGGACAUUUAUGGAAUUUAGUUUCAGAAAGCAACUUCACAGGGGCCAGUCCAUCCUCAUGUCCUACCUAGAACUGGCCCUGUUAUUUCUACAGCCCAGUUACUCAACAUCCAAAUGGCUCAUCCCUCAAGGUCCUCCGCAGGUGUGAGGGGGAACCUCUUUGAACCUAAUUUCACCAGGAAAUUUAGUGACCCUUCCUCGAUGAUUCUAGUUAAAUCAAGCUCGUCUCCAAAAAAGGAAGCUUUUUCCCUCCCUCUAAACACAAGAGCUUGCGUCUACUGCCCAGCCCCUCGGCAUAGCUCUUUCCAUUUUUCUCAUGCUUUUCCAGAGCUCAUCGUUUGUCAUUGAAGGCGGGCAGCCUGUGCAGAUGACGAAGUUGGUACUCAGACUGUGUGGAAGGCUCUUGGCCAGUGUCCCCCAGACAGCAAGCUGCUGGGUUCAACACAGAGACUUAAUUACCAGGGACCACAUUCUCAGUGGCCAGAGUCUCAGGGACGUUUACUUUGGCAGACGCCCCCCCUAAAAACAGUCUUUGGAAUGAGUGGAGUGCAAGUAAAAAUGUCUCUU